AUGUCUUUCAAUUCUCGUACUCGUAAUUGGAAAGUUACGGAAGGAGACCCAUCAUUUUGCAAUGAAAACACCAUAUAAAACUCUGGACAAUUUCGAAAUCAGGCCAAGCGUCUUAAUACAUAUGCAAAAAAAAUCAUUAUUGGCCCACCAUUGAUUAGAAGAUUUAGCUUGUAUGAAUCGCUAUUGGUUGGAUACUAA
rnacentral:rRNA from 1 species